rnacentral:rRNA from 1 species
GAAGGGGGCUAGCGUUGUUCGGAAUUACUGGGCGUAAAGGGCGCGUAGGCGGUUAUCCAAGUCAGGCGUGAAAGCCCCGGGCUCAACCUGGGAAUUGCGUUUGAGACUGGAUGACUUGAGUUCGGGAGAGGUGAGUGGAAUUCCCAGUGUAGAGGUGAAAUUCGUAGAUAUUGGGAAGAACACCGGUGGCGAAGGCGGCUCACUGGACCGAUACUGACGCUGAUACGCGAAAGCGUGGGGAGCAAACAGGAUUAGAUACCCUGGUAGUCCACGCUGUAAACGAUGGGCACUAGGUGUCCGGGGUAUUGACCCCCUGGGUGCCGCAGCUAACGCAUUAAGUGCCCCGCCUGGGGAGUACGGUCGCAAGAUUA